UGAUUCUCAGAUCACCCUGCUUCACUUAUUGAUCUCUUUGAUUCAGUGCAUUACAGCCCAAAAACUUCUCCCUCCCCCUCUCCCUUUAAUCAGCGUAGAUCAUGUUUCAGCAGGGCUUUAAUGGACUCUUGAGGAUAGUCAUAGAGUGCUUUACCCUUAUGACUUGGUGGCUGUGUAAUCAGUCCACUGGCUUAAAAUCCAUCUGAUUUUCUGGAAUUCUUCUGAAGAGAACUGAAAGGAGGCCGACAGUGACAGAAUUGCACUGCAGGAGACACUGAACUGAGCUGUGUGCCAAAGCUUUAUAAAUUGUCUCCCAUUUGUCCUGUGCGCAGCAGUUUCCACAAGAUACAGUUUUGUCUAGUGUGUUGCAUGACUGGGGAUGGAACAAAUGAGGAAUUCUGUCAAAUGGCCUAAGUAGUGCUUCAAAUGGUCUAUCGACUAAAAAAGAACAUGCUGACAAAGAUCAUUGCUGCGGGUGAAUCAUAAGUAUAGCAAAUUUAAUCCAGUCACAGCUGUAUGUAAUUACUACAGCGAGGAUUUCAGAUGCCAUGCAGGAGUGCUGUGGCGGUGGCUGGACAGCCGUUGCAAUGAAGGCUAAAUAGGCACAUAUAAUAGGGAAGAACUCUGCACUGAAGAAACCAUAAUCAUCAGCUGCAUGAGAUGCUCCAGUAGUUACACUCCAAUAGUGUUGUGUUGCGUUAUUUGGUUUCUUCCUGAUUCUGCCCGUUUGUGGUUGUCGACUCAAAUGCAGAUUAGAGCCUCUGUCCUGGAGAUGAGAGGUGCAGGGCCAAAC